rnacentral:rRNA from 1 species
UACGAAGGGGGCUAGCGUUGCUCGGAAUCACUGGGCGUAAAGGGUGCGUAGGCGGGUCUUUAAGUCAGGGGUGAAAUCCUGGAGCUCAACUCCAGAACUGCCUUUGAUACUGAAGAUCUUGAGUCCGGGAGAGGUGAGUGGAACUGCGAGUGUAGAGGUGAAAUUCGUAGAUAUCGGGAGGAACACCAGUGGCGAAGGCGGAGACCUGGGCAGAUAUUGACGCUGAGGUGCGAAAGCGUGGGGAGCAAACAGG